UUAUGAUUCAUUUAGGUACAUAGAUAAUAUAGCAAAAAUAUAUCUUUUAUUCAUCUUGAAUGCAAAAGUCCAACUAGCAAUUACACAAAUAUUUAGUCAUUUACCAUCUUACUAAAUCUUAACAUUCCUUUAGAAACAAUUACACACUGAUCAUGGUAAAAUAUGACUUACUGACAUUGUGUAUGUAACAUCUCAGAAUUUUGGAAACCAAUUAGUACCUAAUUGAGAGAAUCCUUAAAAAUAUUAAGGAGUAAUGGUGGGUUAAAAAUAUAAAUAGUUUUACUAUAGAGAAAGGUAGUAAGUGUGAAUGACAUGAUUGUAAUUAAUUAGAAGUUCAUGGGUGAGAUGAUAAGGGGAGGCAAAUUUAAAAAUAAUUUUUGUUAAGAAAAAAAAAAAGAGAAAAGAAGAAAUCAACUCUCCCUUUUUCUAUUCUGUUCCCAUCGAACCCUAAUACCCUUCCAACCUUCUUCUUCUCAUAAAUUCAUUGUUUGGUAUUCAUGGCAUGCAAUUGUUUUACUAAGAUUCCAUUCUUAAUUGCUACUACUAGUGUUAAUUGGAAGAGAUUAGUAGUAACAAAUCAAGUUAGGCGACACAAGAACAUGGAGAAAUCCCAUUUGCAUCAUCACUGCUUUCAUCUUCAAUCCAUAUUUUUUUCUUCAAGUUCUUCUUCUAAAUAAAGGUGAGUUUUUAUUCUAGGUACUGAUUAUGGGUAGAAAUUAUAUUUAGAAUUGAGUUUUCAUACAUGCAUGAAGAGGCUAGAUAAACCCCAAUCUUUCUCUUAAUAAGUAAUAAAUUAGUAAAUUAUAUUGAUAAGUUGCUAGAGGGUAAAUAAGAAUUUAUGUAGAAUGUUAUUUGGCUAAAUAUUGUUGUUGUUGCUGUUAAAGAUAACUAUGGUUGGAAUGGCAAGUUAGUACUGUCCAUUGAAAACAAUUGCACAUUUUAGAUUAAAGUACGUAUACUCUGGUUUUGGUUUUAUGAAGCUAAAUGGGUUAUGAUGAGGAAUAGGUUCUUAUGAGUUAAGAUAGU
rnacentral:lncRNA from 1 species